CGUCGUGGUUAUUGAAAAUGACUGGAACUUUCAACCUCUAUUUGAUUAAACAGUCAUUGAUGCAAGGAGUCUCGGUCCAAAUGCAAUGCUGUGGAAACCCAUUUUAGUUGGCAACAUUUGUUGUAUGCAAUUGGAAAUCUUAAGUGCUCUGCUUUUAAUUUCUUUCUUCCAUUUUAUGUGUGAAAGAAAUGGGGGAGAGCUCCUUACUCGUGUUUGUUUUUUUAUGGAUCAUUUUGACAUGACUAAGCAGUUUCAGAUAUCUAAAAGCCAUGGGAAACCUUAUCUGAUUGUGACAUAGUUUUUUGCUUCUGCCAACUGCAGAUGUUGUAAUUUUUGCUUCUUAUAAUAUAUGUUUAUUUCCUUUGGAA